UACGGAGGGAGCUAGCGUUGUUCGGAAUUACUGGGCGUAAAGCGUACGUAGGCGGCUUUGUAAGUCAGAGGUGAAAGCCCACGACUCAAUCGUGGAACUGCCUUUGAGACUGCUUCGCUUGAAGAUGGGAGAGGUUAGUGGAAUUCCGAGUGUAGAGGUGAAAUUCGUAGAUAUUCGGAAGAACACCAGUGGCGAAGGCGGCUAACUGGACCAUUCUUGACGCUGAGGUACGAAAGCGUGGGGAGCAAACAGG
rnacentral:rRNA from 1 species